rnacentral:rRNA from 1 species
GAUGAGUAGGGCGGGACACGUGGUAUCCUGUCUGAAUAUGGGGGGACCAUCCUCCAAGGCUAAAUACUCCUGACUGACCGAUAGUGAACCAGUACCGUGAGGGAAAGGCGAAAAGAACCCCGGCGAGGGGAGUGAAAAAGAACCUGAAACCGUGUACGUACAAGCAGUGGGAGCACGCUUAGGCGUGUGACUGCGUACCUUUUGUAUAAUGGGUCAGCGACUUAUAUUCUGUAGCAAGGUUAACCGAAUAGGGGAGCCGAAGGGAAACCGAGUCUUAACUGGGCGUUAAGUUGCAGGGUAUAGACCCGAAACCCGGUGAUCUAGCCAUGGGCAGGUUGAAGGUUGGGUAACACUAACUGGAGGACCGAACCGACUAAUGUUGAAAAAUUAGCGGAUGACUUGUGGCUGGGGGUGAAAGGCCAAUCAAACCGGGAGAUAGCUGGUUCUCCCCGAAAGCUAUUUAGGUAGCGCCUCGUGAACUCAUCUCCGGGGGUAGAGCACUGUUUCGGCAAGGGGGUCAUCCCGACUUACCAACCCGAUGCAAACUGCGAAUACCGGAGAAUGUUAUCACGGGAGACACACGGCGGGUGCUAACGUCCGUCGUGAAGAGGGAAACAACCCAGACCGCCAGCUAAGGUCCCAAAGUCAUGGUUAAGUGGGAAACGAUGUGGGAAGGCCCAGACAGCCAGGAUGUUGGCUUAGAAGCAGCCAUCAUUUAAAGAAAGCGUAAUAGCUCACUGGUCGAGUCGGCCUGCGCGGAAGAUGUAACGGGGCUAAACCAUGCACCGAAGCUGCGGCAGCGACACUAUGUGUUGUUGGGUAGGGGAGCGUUCUGUAAGCCUGUGAAGGUGUGCUGUGAGGCAUGCUGGAGGUAUCAGAAGUGCGAAUGCUGACAUAAGUAACGAUAAAGCGGGUGAAAAGCCCGCUCGCCGGAAGACCAAGGGUUCCUGUCCAACGUUAAUCGGGGCAGGGUGAGUCGACCCCUAAGGCGAGGCCGAAAGGCGUAGUCGAUGGGAAACAGGUUAAUAUUCCUGUACUUGGUGUUACUGCGAAGGGGGGACGGAGAAGGCUAUGUUGGCCGGGCGACGGUUGUCCCGGUUUAAGCGUGUAGGCUGGUUUUCCAGGCAAAUCCGGAAAAUCAAGGCUGAGGCGUGAUGACGAGGCACUACGGUGCUGAAGCAACAAAUGCCCUGCUUCCAGGAAAAGCCUCUAAGCAUCAGGUAACAUCAAAUCGUACCCCAAACCGACACAGGUGGUCAGGUAGAGAAUACCAAGGCGCUUGAGAGAACUCGGGUGAAGGAACUAGGCAAAAUGGUGCCGUAACUUCGGGAGAAGGCACGCUGAUAUGUAGGUGAAGUCCCUCGCGGAUGGAGCUGAAAUCAGUCGAAGAUACCAGCUGGCUGCAACUGUUUAUUAAAAACACAGCACUGUGCAAACACGAAAGUGGACGUAUACGGUGUGACGCCUGCCCGGUGCCGGAAGGUUAAUUGAUGGGGUUAGCCGCAAGGCGAAGCUCUUGAUCGAAGCCCCGGUAAACGGCGGCCGUAACUAUAACGGUCCUAAGGUAGCGAAAUUCCUUGUCGGGUAAGUUCCGACCUGCACGAAUGGCGUAAUGAUGGCCAGGCUGUCUCCACCCGAGACUCAGUGAAAUUGAACUCGCUGUGAAGAUGCAGUGUACCCGCGGCAAGACGGAAAGACCCCGUGAACCUUUACUAUAGCUUGACACUGAACAUUGAGCCUUGAUGUGUAGGAUAGGUGGGAGGCUUAGAAGUGUGGACGCCAGUCUGCAUGGAGCCGACCUUGAAAUACCACCCUUUAAUGUUUGAUGUUCUAACGUUGACCCGUAAUCCGGGUUGCGGACAGUGUCUGGUGGGUAGUUUGACUGGGGCGGUCUCCUCCUAAAGAGUAACGGAGGAGCACGAAGGUUGGCUAAUCCUGGUCGGACAUCAGGAGGUUAGUGCAAUGGCAUAAGCCAGCUUGACUGCGAGCGUGACGGCGCGAGCAGGUGCGAAAGCAGGUCAUAGUGAUCCGGUGGUUCUGAAUGGAAGGGCCAUCGCUCAACGGAUAAAAGGUACUCCGGGGAUAACAGGCUGAUACCGCCCAAGAGUUCAUAUCGACGGCGGUGUUUGGCACCUCGAUGUCGGCUCAUCACAUCCUGGGGCUGAAGUAGGUCCCAAGGGUAUGGCUGUUCGCCAUUUAAAGUGGUACGCGAGCUGGGUUUAGAACGUCGUGAGACAGUUCGGUCCCUAUCUGCCGUGGGCGCUGGAGAACUGAGGGGGGCUGCUCCUAGUACGAGAGGACCGGAGUGGACGCAUCACUGGUGUUCGGGUUGUCAUGCCAAUGGCACUGCCCGGUAGCUAAAUGCGGAAGAGAUAAGUGCUGAAAGCAUCUAAGCACGAAACUUGCC